GACAGUGAUAGAUGUCUCUGGGGGGGACAGCAUCUCUCUUGGUAAACCUGAGGAGCCUUUGGCGUCUGAGAGUUUCUAGUUCAGAUGGUUGCCCAGACUGGUCUGGGGGGCUUACAUAUUAUAUGGCCACACUGCUCUGCUGCCCCAGGGCUAGCCAGGCACCCAGAGAGCCCCAUUCAAGCCCUCUGUCCAGCUGACACGCCUGCCAUUAAAGUUCUUCCCUAGACUGGAACUGCGGGAGUUAUGCUGAGGCCUGAGCAUCGCCCCCUGAGAACUACAACCCCCAGCGUACACCCGGGCCGGAUGGAAGGUGGGGCUGAAGUCAAACAUCCUGCUAAUUGAUAUUAAUGCUGUCCAAUCAGCGAGCCGGAAGGGCAAUGGCCUCGCCAAUGAUUGGGCGGCAGGGAUGGGCCGCGCCGCGCCGCCUCCGUGUGGAGUUUCUAGAUCGGCCCCUAAGGAGGGUGAGUAUCGCGGGCAGGGGCUGCUGGGACCGGGACCCAGGGGCGCCCGGCCGCCCGCUCUGUGCUGAGCCCCCAGGAACGUGCCGCGGAGCUGGGGCAGCAGAUCUGCAUUUUUAUUUGAAGUACUUUAUCUUUGUAAAGGGGGCUAGUGUCCUGAAUCCUUUUGUGACAGGUUUGGAAGAGCAACAUUCUAAGAUACUGAAAAAUCUGGACUUUUAA
rnacentral:lncRNA from 1 species